AGCGAACGCUGGCGGCGUGCUUAACACAUGCAAGUCGAGCGAAGGUGUUUCAAGGGUAACCUUGAGAUACACUUAGCGGCGGACGGGUGAGUAAUACGUGGAUAACUUACCUCUAGGCCUGGGAUAACCCCGGGAAACUGGGGCUAAUACCUGAUAAGACCACAUUGUCUACGGACAAAGGGGUAAAAGGUGGCUGUGCAAAACAGCUAUCGCCAAAAGAUAGGUUCACGUCCCAUCAGGCAGNGGUGAGGUAAUGGCUCACCAAACCAAAGACGGGUAGCCGGCCUUGGCGGGUGAACGGCCACACGGGGACUGAGACACGGCCCCGACUCCUACGGGAGGCAGCAGUGGGGAAUAUUGGGCAAUGGGCGCAAGCCU
rnacentral:rRNA from 1 species